GGUAGUGAUGCAACUGCCUGAAAAUAUUUAAGGAGAAUAUCGAGCGAAGGCCCUUCGGCUGGAGUUACUGUGUAAGGGAGGGUCUUCGCUCGAAACGUCAAUAUUCUCCUUAUAUAUUUUCAGGUAUUUGUAUCUCUACC
rnacentral:miRNA from 1 species